rnacentral:rRNA from 1 species
UACGUAGGGUGCAAGCGUUAUCCGGAAUUAUUGGGCGUAAAGAGCUCGUAGGCGGUUUGUCGCGUCUGCUGUGAAAACCCGAGGCUCAACCUCGGGCCUGCAGUGGGUACGGGCAGACUAGAGUGCGGUAGGGGGAGAUUGGAAUUCCUGGUGUAGCGGUGGAAUGCGCAUAUAUCAGGAGGAACACCGGUGGCGAAGGCGGGUCUCUGGGCCGAUACUGACGCUGAGGAGCGAAAGCGUGGGGAGCGAACAGG